rnacentral:rRNA from 1 species
UAGUCCACGCCGUAAACGAUGGAUACUAGGUGUCCGGGAUAUUAACCUCCUGGGUACUACAGUUAACGCGUUAAGUAUCCCGCCUGGGGAGUACGGUCGCAAGGCUAAAACUCAAAGGAAUUGACGGGGGCCCGCACAAGCGGUGGAGUAUGUGGUUUAAUUCGAAGCAACGCGCAGAACCUUACCUACCCUUAACAUUUCACGACGUAUACAGAGAUGUAUAUUUCUCUUCGGAGACGUGAGGAUAGGUGCUGCAUGGCUGUCGUCAGCUCGUGUCGUAAGAUGUCUGGUUAAGUCCAAUAACGAGCGCAACCCUUAUUCUUAGUUGCCAGCAUGUAAUGAUGGGGACUCUAGGAAGACUGCCGGCGUAAGCCGUGAGGAAGGUGGGGACGACGUCAAAUCAUCAUGGCCUUUAUGCCUAGGGCUACACGCGUGCUACAAUGGUGCAUACAGCGGGUAGCGAAAUCGCGAGGUGGAGCUAAUCUUGUAAAGUGCAUCCCAGUUCGGAUUGG